AGCCCAACCUCUGCCGGCCCCUCCGUGGCUCUCUGAUCAGGUAUGCGGUUGUGAUGUUCAUUCGUUCAUCUCUGCCCCUGCGACGGCCAACAGACACGGCAGCUGUCGGACGGCCUCCACGCACCGCAUUCUUCCACUCUGCAUCGCAUGAGCGCCGCAGCAUUCACAGCGAAGGCAGUGAGGAGAUCGCUGGUUUGCGUGUCUUCUCUCUCAACGCCGCACUCUGCGGUGGUGACUCCCUCAAGCAGUAGAUUGCUUGGAACCUCCUCUUUUCAGCCCACGCUCCUCUUGUGCAAGGUGCAUCAUUGCCCCGGGUGAUUGGGUGUGGCGGUGGUGGUGGUGGGACGACUAUGCACGGCCACCCCCGACACUGCUCCUGGUUGGCCUGUGCUACCGGUCGGGGCACCAAUCAUCUGAGCUGGAGUGUCGUCCGUCGACGCUGCGAGCGGUAUAUACACAAGGCGGUGCGGUCUCCCAGCGUACCGCCGGAGUAAGGACGCAUCGCCGGUGCGCACGGGUUCGAAGUCAGGGGAGUGCAACAUCGAUGGAGUCGCGUACGGCGAGCUAACCGCCAAAGUCUUCUUUCGCGUUUAUCAGGAAGGUUGUCCGGUGCUCAUCGAACACCCUGCUGAGAUGCACGGCAGUCACAACCCCCGCUCAGAGGAGGCGGUGCCGAAGCACGCCCUCCUCAAUCCACAUGGCUAAGACGAGAUCACAUCGCCGGCUUGCAGUCGCGACUCGUACGCGGCCACCAAAGACAACGAUGCCACACCACAUUCACAACUACGUUUGCCCAUCAACCGGGUAAGAAGGGCGCACAGCAACCUGUGCUGAUAUCGCUUCAGCGAUCGUCAUCACCGUACCUGGGCAGAGAUGGGCUCUCUGAGGGAACCCUCUACGAAGCUCGUGCGCACGCAUCGAAAACCAGCGUUCAGCUUCGGUUUUGCAGGCACCAGCGCUGGUGUACCCCUUCACACGCACGGUGCGGCCGUCACUGAGGUGCUGCACAACCGUCGGCGCUGGUGGCUCAGCGAGCUGUGCUGUGACUCCAACGACAGGACGCUGAGCGUGGUUUCGUUCCGCCCUGUCAACCUACACACCUGCACGGGCGGCAGAGGUGCACACGUGCGCUUGCAGGUAUGACAACUUCGUCUACAUCUCCUCUCGCUGGCAUUACCGCACCCUCAACAUCGGCGAGGCUGCCUGCAUGCCGGCAUUCAUCUGAAGUCAUGGUGCGACUGGUGACGGUGGCGGGGAGGGCGAGGAAGCGGGUGAGGCUGGCGGGCGGCACGCCUUGUGUCUCUGUGGAACACAUCCUUGUUGGUGCUGCUCGCAGUCUUUCUCUUGUGUCCCCGCGCGCACCUUCUCCAGCUGACUCCACCCGGUGUGGACACUCGAAGCGAC
rnacentral:misc_RNA from 1 species